rnacentral:sRNA from 3 species
UAUUCUGCCCUACGGGGAAGGAUGAGAAGCUUCGACUAAGGUUCGACUCGAGCGUAGCGAGAGAACGUUGCCGAAGGCAACGGCCCGAAGGGCGAGGCGCUUUAGCGCCGAGUCAUCCUUCCCCCACCGCUG